rnacentral:rRNA from 1 species
UACGGGGGGUGCAAGCGUUGUCCGGAAUCACUGGGCGUAAAGGGCGCGUAGGCGGCUCAUGAAGGCUGUGGUGAAAGUCCGGGGCUCAACCUCGGAUCGGCCGUGGCGACUCGUGGGCUGGAGCACUGUAGAGGCAGGUGGAAUUCCGGGUGUAGCGGUGGAAUGCGUAGAGAUCCGGAAGAACACCAGUGGCGAAGGCGGCCUGCUGGGCAGUGGCUGACGCUGAGGCGCGACAGCGUGGGGAGCAAACAGG